GGCCCUAUCGUCUAUCGGUUAGGACAUUGCCUUUUCAAGGCAAGAAGCGCGGUUCGACUCCGCGUAGGGUCACAA
rnacentral:tRNA from 1 species